AUUGAACGCUGGCGGCAGGCCUAACACAUGCAAGUCGAGCGGAUCGGCGGCGGGGGGCGGAAUGCCUAGGAAUCUGCCUGUGCGUGGGGGAUAGGGUUAAGAACCGGGCGCUAUUACCGCAUACUCUCACCUGAGGCUAGGUCGGAUUGGCUAGAUGGUGGGGUAAAGGCCUACCAAGGCCACGAUCCGUAACUGGUCUGAGAGGAUGAUCAGCCACACUGGAACUGAGACACGGUCCAGACUCCUACGGGAGGCAGCAGUGGGGAAUAUUGGACAAUGGGCGAAAGCCUGAUGCAGCCAUGCCGCGUGUGUGAAGAAGGUCUUCGGAUUGUAAAGCACUUUCAGUGGGGAGGCGUUACCAACAGAAGAAGCACCGGCUAACUUCGUGCCAGCCGCCGCGGUAAUAC
rnacentral:rRNA from 1 species